AACAAAUGUAAUUUCGCACUAUUCUUAUCUAAUGUUUGACAUUUCAUCUUAUUUAAAUUUUUUUUAUGAUUAGUAUUUUUAUUGUUAUUAGAUGAUAAAUCAUAAAUAGUAUUUUAUGUGUGACUAAUAUUUUUAAAUUUUUUUAUAGAUUUUUUUAAAUAAGACAGACGGUCAAACGUUGGAUACAGAUAUCCUCGGCUACAUUUAUU
rnacentral:pre_miRNA from 1 species